ACGAACGCUGGCGGCGUGCCUAAUACAUGCAAGUUGAGCGCUGAAGGUUGGUACUUGUACCAACUGGAUGAGCAGCGAACGGGUGAGUAACGCGUGGGGAAUCUGCCUUUGAGCGGGGGACAACAUUUGGAGACGAAUGCUAAUACCGCAUAAAAACUUUAAACACAAGUUUUAAGUUUGAAAGAUGCAAUUGCAUCACUCAAAGAUGAUCCCGCGUUGUAUUAGCUAGUUGGUGAGGUAAAGGCUCACCAAGGCGAUGAUACAUAGCCGACCUGAGAGGGUGAGCGGCCACAUUGGGACUGAGACACGGCCCAAACGCCUACGGGAGGCAGCAGUAGGGAAUCUUCGGCAAUGGACGAAAGUCUGACCGAGCAACGCCGCGUGAGUGAAGAAGGUUUUCGGAUCGUAAAACUCUGUUGGUAGAGAAGAACGUUGGUGAGAGUGGAAAGCUCAUCAAGUGACGGUAACUACCCAGAAAGGGACGGCUAACUACGUG
rnacentral:rRNA from 1 species